UACGUAGGUGGCAAGCGUUGUCCGGAUUUACUGGGCGUAAAGGGUGUGUAGGCGGAAUUUUAAGUAGAAAGUGAAAGUUUGGAGCUCAACUCCAACACUGCUUCCUAUACUGGAAUUCUUGAGUCCCGGAGAGGAAGAUGGAACGACACGUGUAACGGUGAAAUGUGUUGAUAUGUGUCGGAACACCAAUGGCGAAGGCAGUCUUCUGGAAGGGUACUGACGCUGAGACACGAAAGCCAAGGGAGCGAACAGG
rnacentral:rRNA from 1 species